GAUGAAGAACGUAGCGAAAUGCGAUAAGUAAUGCGAAUUGCAGAAUUCAGUGAGACAUCGAAUCUUUGAACGCACAUUGCGCCCUGUGGUAUUCCGCAGGGCAUGCCUGUUCGAGCGUCAUUUCAACCCUCAAGCUCUGCUUGGUGUUGGGCCCUGCCCGCUGCGGCCGGCCCUAAAGACAGUGGCGGUGCCGCCUGGCCCUGAGCGUAGUACAUCUCUCGCUCCAGUGCCCGGUGGUAGCCUGCCAGAACCCCAACUCUCGUGGUUGACCUCGGAUCAGGUAGGGAUACCCGCUGAACUUAAGCAUAUCAAUAAGCGGAGGA
rnacentral:misc_RNA from 1 species